rnacentral:tRNA from 1 species
GCGGCCGUAGCUCAAUGGCAGAGCGCUCGCUUCCCAAGCCAGAUACGCGGGUUCGAUUCCCGUCGGCCGCUCCA